UAAAAUCACCCCCACACACACCCACACUCUUCUUCUCUCUUCUUUCCCUAUAGUUUUCCCCUCCUUCUUCACUCAAAAUCUCUCUCUCUCUAUCAAACAAAUCAUAACCACUCUGUGAGACACACACGAUCUUUUCCUCUCUCUCUCUCUCCUAGGGUUAGGGUUUUUUGCGGUGGCUAUGGCUUCGUCGUCGUCUGAUCCUGGAUUGAAAUCGGAAGCCGGCGGCGGUGGUGGCGGUGCUGGAAGCAGCGGAGAGGCGGCGAUGGUUGCGAAAGACGAGCUGUUUGUGUACAGAGGAGGAUUGAAGAAAGCGAAGAAAGAGCGAGGAUGUACGGCGAAAGAGCGCAUCAGCAAAAUGCCUCCCUGUGCCGCCGGUAAACGCAGCUCCAUCUACCGCGGCGUCACCAGGCAUAGAUGGACUGGUCGAUAUGAAGCUCAUCUUUGGGACAAAAGCACUUGGAAUCAAAAUCAGAAUAAGAAAGGAAAACAAGUAUACUUGGGGGCAUAUGAUGAGGAAGAGGCUGCUGCUAGAGCUUAUGAUCUUGCUGCCUUAAAAUACUGGGGCCCUGGCACUCUCAUUAAUUUCCCUGUUACUGAUUAUACAAGAGAUCUUGAGGAGAUGCAGAAUGUCUCAAGAGAAGAAUACCUUGCAUCUCUGCGGAGAAAGAGCAGUGGUUUUUCAAGAGGAAUUUCUAAAUAUCGUGGGCUUUCCAGUCGUUGGGAGCCAUUUGGUCGCAUGGGUGCAUCUGAGUACUUCAACAGUACAAAUUAUAGUACAGGCGAUGAUCCAGCAGCAGAAAGUGAAUAUUUGGGCAAUUUCUGUAGUGAAAGGAAGAUUGAUUUGACAAGUUACAUCAAGUGGUGGGGGCCCAACAAAACUCGUCAAUCAGAUGCUGCGUUAAAAUCAUCAGAAGAAACAAAGCAUGCUGGAGAUAUUGGUGUAGAACUAAAAACAUUGGAGUUGGCAGUUCAGCCUACUGAACCAUACCAGAUGCCAUGUUUGGGCAUGUCCAAUGAAAUGAGAAAACGUAAAAGUUCUACUGUCUCUGCUUUGAGCAUUUUGUCACGGUCAGCUGCCUACAAGAGCAUGGAAGAGAAAGCAUCAAAAAAGCCAGAAAACAGCAUUGAUAAUGAUGAAAAUGAAGACAAAAAUACUAUCAACAAGGUGGACUAUGGCAAGGCAGUUGAGAAAUCCACAAGUCAUGAUGUUGCGAGUGAGAGACUAGGAGUUGCACUAGGAAUGAGUGGGGGAAUGUCUCUUCAGAGAAAUGUGUACCCGCUGACUCCUUACUUAUCUGCACCGCUAUUGACCAACUACAAUACUGUUGAUCCCUUAGCAGAUCCCAUUCUCUGGACGUCUCUUGUUCCUGUUCUUCCGAGUGGACUUGCUCGUACAGCUGAGGGACAAUAACUGAUUCAUCACUUAUUUGAAAACAAUUGUAAUAUUUCCCCUCCAGCCCCAGGUGAUUCUUAAUGGUUACAAAGACUGAGACCAGUUCAACUUAUACGUUCUUCCAUGCGGACGAAUGAUAUCACAUUCCCUUUUUAUCUACAAUUGGUUCAAAGGUGGAAAACUGCUUCUAUCGGGAAGGGUUUAGCGCUGCAUUAUGUGUAACAAACAUCGCCGGAAGAGUCUGGAGAGCUUAGUAGGGCCUUAAAAAAGAUGAGAAUUUUACUUGUUUUUUGUGGGCUUGUAUUUACAUCAGAUCUAGAUAUAGAGGGGAAGCUAUAAAUGUGUCUUUAUAUAUGUAGAAAUUUUGAUAUAUCCAAUAUGAUCAUGUAUAUUAGGAUUGCACUGAAAGAGUUGAAUGAUGAUAUGUUCUUGUUGUAAAGAAAAAGCUGUCUGUUCUGAAUAUGAUAAGCUCUGUAACAUUGUAGUUUUAACAUGCACAAA